AGAUGUAAUGCUCUGCACACGCAAAUGUAUAUGCUGGAGGGGUUGUCCAGAUGGAACAUCAAUCGGGCCCAGCAGGCUCUGAAUAUGAGUGUCACGUCACAAACUCGAAUUUAUGGUGUUCGUCUGAUGUCCAGUGUGAACGCCCUCAGCAACAGAGUCCUGGGAAGUGCACUUCUUCAAGAGUUUACACCCCCGGGUAAACCUACCGGUGAGCUUAUUGCGGUGGAGUAUUUGCUGGCCCAGUCCAACAGAGGAGAUCUGCUGAGUGCGCCUGACGCAAUUGGCGCCAACCUGCCAGAGGGGCCGGAGGAAGUUCAGGAGGAUGAGUUUCCGGAUGAGACAAUACCUCAGGCCACUGAUAUUCUUUUCCCUUCUUCUUCUCAGGAACCUACGGCUGAAAGUGAAGGUGCAUCUCAGAGUCCUGUCAGCUCCCCAUUUGAGGACAGUGGGCCUAUCACUUGAACUCCGGAUAGUCGGUGUGAUCCCAGAGGCAUUCCCGGAUGGGAGGCAGUCGAUGCCUUGGCAGGGUACCUUGUCAGCCUCAACCGGACGAUAACUGCUCUUUCGAACCAAGAAAUAGCAGAUAUACUGAGGUUGUACUCCAGCCUGGAUGGAAUCGACAAGUCCCCAACAAAGUACUCCCUAAGAAAUAAGAAGACGACCUUGCCAGGGCCAUGGAGAGCUUCUCGGAAACGCAGUGGCUCUGCUCCAGGCCAACAAGCAGCCGAGAGAUUGUUCAUGGUUCAUGGCCAGGCUGCCCAUAGACCCGAUUACACCAGGGUCUCUGAGUGUGUUGCACUGAAGCUUUUCAAGGAGUUCAAGGAAGGCAGAAAUAGACCAAAAGACCCUAAGGGGAGGACAUUUGCAAUUCCUCAGGCUAUUGUCAUGACGUAUGGUCAUAUUAAACAAUUAAUUGAGGAUUGCCAACAAAUCCUGCAAAGCACCAACCUGGUACUGGUGACCAUAAAUAAUGCAACAGUCUCUUCUUGGCUGCAGGAUCGGCAGAAGAGGGCCGACCGCGAUUCUCUGCUUCAAGGGGUGGAGCUUCC